UACGGGGGGUGCGAGCGUUGUCCGGAAUCACUGGGCGUAAAGGGCGCGUAGGUGGCCUGAUAAGGGUGUGGUGAAAGUCCGGGGCUCAACCCCGGAUCGGCCGUGCCGACUGUUAGGCUAGAGUACUGUAGGGGCAGGCGGAAUUCCUGGUGUAGCGGUGGAAUGCGCAGAUAUCAGGAGGAACACCGGUGGCGAAGGCGGGUCUCUGGGCAGUAACUGACGCUGAGGAGCGAAAGCGUGGGGAGCGAACAGG
rnacentral:rRNA from 1 species